rnacentral:rRNA from 1 species
AUUGAACGCUGGCGGCAGGCCUAACACAUGCAAGUCGAGCGGAUGACGGGAGCUUGCUCCUUGAUUCAGCGGCGGACGGGUGAGUAAUGCCUAGGAAUCUGCCUGGUAGUGGGGGACAACGUUUCGAAAGGAACGCUAAUACCGCAUACGUCCUACGGGAGAAAGCAGGGGACCUUCGGGCCUUGCGCUAUCAGAUGAGCCUAGGUCGGAUUAGCUAGUAGGUGAGGUAAUGGCUCACCUAGGCGACGAUCCGUAACUGGUCUGAGAGGAUGAUCAGUCACACUGGAACUGAGACACGGUCCAGACUCCUACGGGAGGCAGCAGUGGGGAAUAUUGGACAAUGGGCGAAAGCCUGAUCCAGCCAUGCCGCGUGUGCGAAGAAGGUCUUCGGAUUGUAAAGCACUUUAAGUUGGGAGGAAGGGUUGUACGUUAAUACCGUGCAAUUUUGACGUUACCGACAGAAUAAGCACCGGCUAACUCUGUGCCAGCCGCCGCAGUAA